rnacentral:rRNA from 1 species
AUGCCUAGGUUACAGAGGUGUGCUACCGCAAGAAGAAAGAAAAUUCUUGGGGUUGGUCGUGGCAAUAUGGCUGCAGCUGCAGACCACGAUGACGACUUCAUGGAGCCACCGGUCAGGUCGUCAUCACUUCCCGUAAAAUAUGUAGCGUUGGUUUCUAGAUGCACACCCAUUUCAAUUUCGUCCAUCGUGAACGAUUUUAACGAUGAAAAGAAACGCUUACCCAGGGAGAUGAAGUUUGAUGGAAUUUUGAAACUACCAGAAAUCACAAACUCUCGUGAAUUUAGUCACAACCUUCUAUCUAGGGUAUCCACUGAAGAUAUAGCAAUUAGAAUGGGUGAUGGAUCUCUUCUCUACUUCACUGAUGGUGAUGUUCACAAAGUUCUGGGUAUCCCAUUCAUGGGAAAGGAGUUGCGAAUUCCUUCCACGGAAGAAAUCAAUCACAUCAAAAAUAUAAUAUGCAUCGGACUGAACGUCCCGGAGUUUAAAAAAAUCACGAGAACUGUACUAACUGAUAUUCUAAGCAAGAAACAUGAAGCACCAAUGUCGGAUGAUGAAGUUGCUGCCUUCAAGACUGCAUUCAUUCUACUUGUGAUGACCAAAUUCCUUGCGCCACAAACUUUGUUGGACAAUAUAUGUCCGAGGUAUUUUAUGGCGCUCAAGAAUUUGGAUGACAUACAUAAUUGGAACUGGGCAAGGUAUGUCGUUAAUGACAUUAUAGCAGCAGCGCGGGCAUUGGCCAACAAGCUCACUGAUGAAACAAAAGCCACCUAUAUAAAUGGAUGUGUCAUAUUUCUGCAGAUAUUCUACUUGGACAACCUGGAAUUGGGUCCGCUAAGUCUCAAGCAUGAUUGCUUCCCACGAAUUAUGGCGUAUGAUAAACAUGCAAUAAAAGUACGAAUGAGUAUGGACCUCAAAGAGAAGAAUCAGUACAAGCCAACCCAGUUUGGGAUGAUGAAGCUACGUCCAAGAAGUGAAGUCUGUUACAACAGACAUACAAUGGGCAUGAUGUCGGCUUUUCGAGCUGAAAGUGGCGCUGUCCCAUCAGAGAUCAAUCCUGAUAAUAGCAAGAUAGUUCAACAAGCAUUCCUGAUUAGGGACAAUUUGUGA